rnacentral:rRNA from 1 species
GACGAACGCUGGCGGCGCGCCUAACACACGCAAGUCGAACGAGAGAGAGGAAGCUUGCUUCCUCAAUCGAGUGGCGAACGGGUGAGUAACGCGUGAGGAACCUGCCUCAAAGAGGGGGACAACAGUUGGAACGACUGCUAAUACCGCAUAAGCCCACGGGUCGGCAUCGACCAGAGGGAAAGGAGCAAUCCGCUUUGAGAUGGCCUCGCGUCCGAUUAGCUAGUUGGUGAGGUAAUGGCCCACCAAGGCGACGAUCGGUAGCCGGACUGAGAGGUUGAACGGCCACAUUGGGACUGAGACACGGCCCAGACUCCUACGGGAGGCAGCAGUGGGGAAUAUUGCACAAUGGAGGAAACUCUGAUGCAGCGACCGCGCGUGAGCGAAGAAGUAUUUCGGUAUGUAAAGCUCUGUCAGCAGGGAAGAUAAUGACGGUACCUGACCAAGAAGCCCCGGCUAACUACGUG